rnacentral:lncRNA from 1 species
CAGGAGCAUUAAGUGACAAGGCUUGGGACCCACCGGGCCCAGGGUGUCCAUUGUUCUCUCGAAGCAACUGAGAAUUGUGGAUAUUCUUCAUUAUUCCAUCAUCAUCUCAAACCUCUUGGGUAUAGUGUUUGACUGCUACUGUGACCAUAAAUUCCAAUAAAACCUAGGAAAAAAUGAAACCACUACAUUAACUGAAAGGGAUCAGUGUAUGUGAGAAGUUUGGACUUCUACCCCCACCUGGCAAUAAUGAGGAUCACAGGUGUGAGCCACCAUUCCCGGCCCCACAUAGACAUUCUUCAACUAAAAAUAUGCAAUAAAAGAAGUAAAAACUAAAUGGAUGGGCUAAAGAACAGAAUAGAGAGGACAGAGGAAAAAAAUCAAUGAAAUUGAAGAUAGAACGAUAGACAUUAUACAAUCUGAACAAUAGGGAAAUUAGACUG